ACUCCUUAAAAUUUGGCACAUUUUACAAAAUAUUCUUAUUUUGAGUUGAAAAUUUUAGCAAAGCAAUUUCAAACUUUAUUUUUAAGAUUUUUUUUAUGUUGAUUAUCAUCAUAUAUCCUGUUAGUACUAAAAGCUUUGUUGUUAUUUUUCUUACUGUGCAUUCUCCUUUUCCCUUGGACUUUGUUAGCAAACUUAACCAUUAUUGUAUGAAAUGCCUUGUUUUUGUUUGUUUUCAAUUCUUCCUCAGGCAAUAGUGGUUAUUUCUAACCAUUCACAGUGCACAGUGUUGUGAUCAAUGCACAGUUCAUUUUUAUUUUAUUACAAACCACAAGUUAUUACAGCCAUCAUGAGACUAAUAAGCCUAUUAAAUUGUAUGCUUUUAUACAGGCCCAGUUCUAGCGGGCGUGCAGAGCAUGCAUGCACGAAGGCUGCCAAACAUAGAGGGCAGCCACACAGCUCUGGAUUUUUGUCAUCGAAUGUUGGUAACGCUUCAAAGAAAAACCGGCAAGGCAAAUCCAAAACAUAACACGUGAACCUUAUACAU
rnacentral:lncRNA from 1 species